rnacentral:rRNA from 1 species
GAUGAACGCUGGCGGCGUGCCUAAUACAUGCAAGUCGAGCGAACAGAUGAGGCGCUUGCUCCUCGGACGUUAGCCGCGGACGGGUGUGUAACACGUGGAUACCCUACCUAUAAUACUGGUAUCACUUCGGGAAACCGGCGCUAAUACCGGAUAAUCUAUUGAACCGCAUGGUUCAAUAGUGAAAGACGGUUUUGCUGUCUCUUCUAGAUGGAUCCGCGCCGCAUUAGCUAGUUGGUAAGGUAAAGGCUUACCAAGGCAAGGAUGCGUAGCCGACCGGAGAGGGUGAUCGGCCACACUGGAACUGGGACACGGUCCAGACUCCUACGGGAGGCAGCAGUAGGGAAUCGUCCGCAAUGGGCGAAAGCCUGACGGAGCAACGCCGAGUGAGUGAUGAAGGUCUUCGGAUCGUAAAACUCUGUUAUGAGGGAAGAACAAAUGUGUAAGUAACUAUGCACGUCUUGACGGUACCUAAUCAGAAAGCCACGGCUAACUACGUG